rnacentral:misc_RNA from 1 species
UUAUGCAACCCAAUAUACACUAACGGUGUAUUUUAUUACGUGGCUAGAAAAGUAAGCCGGAUAAAAAUGUUUUACAAAUAAAUCUGUGUUAGCCUUAAAAGAAGUGAUUUGGUAUAGUUAUAGCUUGUAAUGAAAAAUCAGCAUAGAGAAAGAAAAUUAAUGAAAAUCGAAUUUUGUAAACUUUUUUAUCCCAUCACAUCCGUCACAGAUUUUGUUGCCUAUGUACUGUGCAGGAGGUAGAAAAUUGGGUGGCGUUGUAAUGUCAGAAACAGGGCAAAAAAGGUAAAUAGUAUAUGAUGGAUCAACAGUUUUGUCUGAGAUGGAACAACCAUCCCACGAACCUGACAGACGUACUAAGCAGUCUUUUACGAAGAGAAGCUCUAUGUGAUGUAACUUUAGCCUGUGACGGUGAAACGUUCAAAGCCCACCAAACAAUCCUCUCAGCAUGUAGUCCAUAUUUUGAAACAAUUUUUAUACAAAAUGCUCAUCCGCACCCUAUAGUUUUCCUCAAAGAUGUCAAUUACAACGAAAUGAAAGCACUGUUAGAUUUUAUGUAUAAAGGAGAAGUGAAUGUGUCCCAAAAUUUACUACCGAUGUUCCUAAAAACUGCAGAAGCCUUGCAAAUUAGGGGCCUCACAGAUAAGAAUUCUUUUAGUAAAAACGACGAAUUAACAGAAGUGCCAAGAAGAGACAGAGAUAGGAUAGUAGAACGAGACAGCCCUCCGAGUGAAAAAAGGAAAAGGAAAUCGUCUUCAAACUGUGAUAUGACAUCAAACUCAAACUUUGAAAGGUUUAAUGAUUCUCAGGCAUCUCAAAGGUUAAACACAAAUGUACCAAAGUUAAAUCCCAUAUCGCCUGUCGAUAGGGAUACAAAUUCAGGCCCGGAGGAUAUGAGAAUAUCCUCACCUUUAAUAAAACAAGAACCUCCGCCUCAUGAGUCCAGUCCACUUAUCGAUUCGUUUCAUUCAAUGUCAGAAGCACUGCAGACGGGUGGAAGUGUGAGCGUUCACCCGGACGACGUGAAGUUGAUGGGGCAGCAGCUUUCUGAGCUACCUGACAGCGAAACACCUCCCAUACCUCCUCCGGAAAUAACGGAUACGAUAGACGGUUCAAAAACCUGGCACAUGCGGCUAACGUUUGACAAGUUGCCGGGUGGCUGUAACCUGCACCGUUGCAAGCUGUGUGGGAAAAUAGUGACGCACAUCCGAAACCACUAUCACGUGCACUUCCCGGGCAGGUUCGAGUGCCCUCUAUGCCGAGCCACGUACACACGCAGUGACAAUCUCCGAACCCAUUGCAAAUUUAAGCACCCGCGCUACAACCCCGAUACGAGGAAGUUCGAUCAGCCCAAAUUUGAACCGCCCAAAUUCGAACCGCCCAAUGCCAUAGCAAAUGACACACCGGCCGAUUGAUUUUGGCUUUACUACUAUUUUUACUAUCGAGCUAUGUGCGAAUCAUAGCAGGGGUGUGUGCGCUAGGCAUUUAGCGCAGAAGACUCUAACGGUGAAACUUUUGAGUGCAAUCAUCUAUAUGAAUAUAUUUGUGUCUAACACAUUGAAGCUUACUAUAACCUAAGAAUAGAAAAAAUCUGUGAUGUUUUUUGGAGUUUGACCCAAUUAAAAAAAAUUUACUCUUUUAUAAAGACGAACAACACUUAUUUCGUAUAGGUAGAUAUAGAAAAGAAAUUUGAAGCUUUUACCGUCCGUCAGUUACAUACUUUAAAAUAAGAGACGGUAGUAAGAUUAUUGUAUUCGAUUUUUUUUACUUCUUGCGAAAAUCAGUGAUUUAUCAUUAUUUGUAUUUAGGUGAUUCUUACAAUUUUUGUGGGCCUAUUAAUUUACAGUGAAUCCAAACAAAUAGGUGUUUUGAUUUUUGUCGUGUCAUUUUUUAGUGAGUCAUUAACAUAUUUAGAAAACUAGCUACCAUCAACGUACGUAGUAAAUCAAAAUUUUUGUUUUAAAUAUAAUGUUUAUUCCUAAAGAAAAGGUACAUUUUUUUCUUGUAGCCCCAUAUAGUUUACAUCAUAUUUAAUGAUGAGCAGUAAUAAUAUGAAUUUAAUAUAAUAAUAUCAACUGGACAUCAAUAAUUACCAAGUGCGACAAAUUGAUGUUUUGUUUCUUAUUUUGGCAAAAAAACUAAUAAAUAAAACCUGAACCAAAUUUUAAUUUUUACUAUUUUUCUUUUUACUUCUGUUAUUUUAUUAAUUAAAAAUAGAAUCUUUUUAAUUUCAUAGAUACUAAGUGAUCUAAUAAGUAACCGCCUUCACUGAUGAGGGCGCUGCGAUCUCCAAAAAAACAUUAGUUCUAGAAAGUCUGACCUUUUUUAGGCCUACAUGUAAAAUUUUAGUGUGAUGCACCCAUUAGUAUAUUUUUGAAAGCUGCAUAAAAUAGAUGAGUUUGGAAAAAUAGCGCAUUUGGAGAAAAACAAUUUUCGAUCUUCGAUCAACAUUAGUUGACAAAUUAAACGGCGAAGGAAACAAAAGAAAACUG